rnacentral:piRNA from 2 species
UUCGUCUGUAACUUCUUCGCAAAAUGGC